rnacentral:rRNA from 1 species
GAGAUAACUCCUACGGGAGGCAGCAGUGGGGAAUUUUGGACGAUGGGCGCAAGCCUGAUCCAGCAAUGCCGCGUGAGUGAAGAAGGCCUUCGGGUUGUAAAGCUCUUUUGUCAGGGAAGAAACGGUGAGGGCUAAUAUCCCUUGCUAAUGACGGUACCUGAAGAAUAAGCACCGGCUAACUACGUGCCAGCAGCCGCGGUAAUACGUAGGGUGCAAGCGUUAAUCGGAAUUACUGGGCGUAAAGCGUGCGCAGGCGGUUUUGUAAGUCUGUCGUGAAAUCCCCGGGCUCAACCUGGGAAUUGUGAUGGAGACUGCAAGGCUAGAAUCUGGCAGAGGGGGGUAGAAUUCCACGUGUAGCAGUGAAAUGCGUAGAGAUGUGGAGGAACACCGAUGGCGAAGGCAGCCCCCUGGGUCAAGAUUGACGCUCAUGCACGAAAGCGUGGGGAGCAAACAGGAUUAGAAACCCCAGUAGUCCUCCACU